rnacentral:rRNA from 1 species
UGAGAAAGAUUCUUCGGAUGAAGUCUUAUGUGACUUAGUGGCGGACGGGUGAGUAACGCGUGGGUAACCUGCCUCACACAGGGGGAUAACAGUUGGAAACGACCGCUAAUACCGCAUAACCCGCCGGUGCCGCAUGGCACUGACGGAAAAGAUUUAUCGGUGUGAGAUGGACCCGCGUCUGAUUAGCCAGUUGGCAGGGUAACGGCCUACCAAAGCGACGAUCAGUAGCCGGCCUGAGAGGGUGAACGGCCACAUUGGGACUGAGACACGGCCCAAACUCCUACGGGAGGCAGCAGUGGGGAAUAUUGCACAAUGGGGGAAACCCUGAUGCAGCGACGCCGCGUGAGUGAAGAAGUAUUUCGGUAUGUAAAGCUCUAUCAGCAGGGAAGAAAAUGACGGUACCUGACCAAGAAGCCCCGGCUAACUACGUGCCAGCAGCCGCGGUAAUACGUAGGGGGCAAGCGUUAUCCGGAUUUACUGGGUGUAAAGGGAGCGUAGACGGCUGAGCAAGUCAGAAGUGAAAGCCCGGGGCUCAACCCCGGGACUGCUUUUGAAACUGCGGAGCUGGAGUGCAGGAGAGGUAAGCGGAAUUCCUGGUGUAGCGGUGAAAUGCGUAGAUAUCAGGAGGAACACCAGUGGCGAAGGCGGCUUACUGGACUGUAACUGACGUUGAGGCUCAAAAGCGUGGGGAGCAAACAGGAUUAGAUACCCUGGUAGUCCACGCCGUAAACGAUGAAUACCAGGUGUCGGGGAGCAAAGCUCUUCGGUGCCGCAGCAAACGCACUAAGUAUUCCACCUGGGGAGU